rnacentral:lncRNA from 1 species
GUGCGCUGGGCCGGGGUGGCGCUCCCCCGCGAAGAGCGGCAGGCUCCCGUCCAGCGACGCUGGCCUCCGCACCGGAGACUUGGGAACUGGUUUAUGAGCACGUGGUUCAGGGACCCGCUUCUUACCCGUGAAGAAGUGAAGGCUUCUGGGUAAGGCUCCCUGUGCUAAGACACAGCCCCUCUUCUGUCUCUGGACCUUGCUGUGUCUGUAUGUGAUGCCUGGAACUGCUACACCCUCCGCAUUACCACACCCGGCAUGAAGCCAGGACACACUACUCAUGGUAGAGUGGAGAGAUGGAAAGAAGCUGGUUCAUGAUGACAUUGAUACAGCAAUUUAAUGUAUUACGAAAAAGUAUGUAGCAGAUCCAGCUUCAGGUGUUCCACCUGCAUCGCAGGCGAAGCCUCCCCCUUCUACUCCUGCUUUCUCCCCAUUAUCCUUUACAAGCGCUUCCCCUAAUAAAUCC